rnacentral:misc_RNA from 1 species
CCAUCGAUAAUAACACAACCAGGAACUUGUUCCCGCUCGCCAUAUAUACGCAUGAAUGACAACUCCGUCGUGAUGUGACUUCCGUAAGCCUGGAUAGGAUAACCGGAUCGGAGAUUGGUUUCGGCAAAGAAAACGGAGUCCCAGGAAUCAUGAUAGUUUUGAAGGAAGUAAAUCCAGAGACGAUUAUCUGAUACGAGUGAUCUCCAUAACUUACAAACGAUGCUCAACCUGGCUGCAUCUUUUGGCCCCAACAAUCUCACUAUUUGCAUCACUACAUCUAUCGGUAUUGGAUCAAAAGCUCCGAACGAAGAUAACACGACGUCGCUCGGUGGAUUGGA